CUGUGUAGGAUAGGUGGGAGGCUUUGAAGUGCGGUCGCUAGAUCGCAUGGAGCCAACCUUGAAAUACCACCCUGAUGUGCUUGACGUUCUAACCUCGGCCCGUAAUCCGGGUCAGGGACCGUGUAUGGUGGGUAGUUUGACUGGGGCGGUCUCCUCCCAAAAGAGUAACGGAGGAGCUCGAAGGUACGCUCAGCGCGGUCGGACAUCGCGCACUGUGUGCAAAGGCAUAAGCGUGCUUGACUGCGAGAUCGACGGAUCAAGCAGGUACGAAAGUAGGACUUAGUGAUCCGGUGGUUCUGUAUGGAAGGGCCAUCGCUCAACGGAUAAAAGGUACUCCGGGGAUAACAGGCUGAUACCGCCCAAGAGUUCAUAUCGACGGCGGUGUUUGGCACCUCGAUGUCGGCUCAUCACAUCCUGGGGCUGUAGUCGGUCCCAAGGGUAUGGCUGUUCGCCAUUUAAAGUGGUACGCGAGCUGGGUUCAGAACGUCGUGAGACAGUUCGGUCCCUAUCUGUCGUGGG
rnacentral:rRNA from 1 species